UACGUAGGUGGCAAGCGUUAUCCGGAUUUAUUGGGUUUAAAGGGUGCGCAGGCGGAUUUUUAAGUCAGCGGUCAAAUCGUGGGGCUCAACCCCAUCCAGCCGUUGAAACUGGCGUUCUUGAGUGAGCGAGAAGUAUGCGGAAUGCGUGGUGUAGCGGUGAAAUGCAUAGAUAUCACGCAGAACUCCGAUUGCGAAGGCAGCAUACCGGCGCCCAACUGACGCUGAGGCGCGAAAGCAUGGGUAGCGAACAGG
rnacentral:rRNA from 1 species